UGCGGGGUAGAGGAGUUCGGUUGUCCUCGCCGGCCUCAUAAGCCGGAGAUCGCGGGUUCGAAUCCCGCCCCCGCCACCA
rnacentral:tRNA from 1 species